rnacentral:lncRNA from 1 species
CAUUAAUAUUGCUGUCUAGAGGUAGCAAGAAGAAUAAAUACGGCAAUGCUUUUUUGGUUAUUAUAAUAAAUACAGCAAUCUAAAAGCACUCCUCAAUUUACCAGUAUCGUUGAUUCCACUGAAAAUGAAAUUUUUGCUAGUACAAGAUCCGUAAUCUGGAAAUUCAGAAAAGCUAAUGAAUAUAAGAAAAUGGAGACAUAGAAAAAACAAACUUAAGAGAGAAAACGAAAGCCAAUUCAGUUUGUAGGAAGCUUGAAAUAAAAGUAGCUUUUGAGAUCCUAGUGCUCUUUGAAAUUCUUCUUUCUCAUGUUUCUUUUAGACUGCAUCUUCAUUUUCAAGAUCCAAUGAGUUUGUGUGCUAUGAAAUGAAUCUAUGUAUAUCUAACGAGCAUCCACAUCUUGCUAUCAUAUUUCUCAAGUUAGUAUUCUUUGUGUUUCUAAGGUAUUGAAGAUAAAAAGUUUAAAAUGCCUAAAUUUGAGAGCCACCUAGAGGAACCUCAUUAGCUCGGCAAACUGAAGAAUUAAGGCAUCCUCAUUGUUAAUAUGAUCUCAAAUAUAACUAUUUUAUUCAUCCUUUCGUUACUAUAGCCAUCCAACUCAUCCCCUUGCUUGUCUUUAUAUGUAAGGAUAUAACUGGCCAUUACUGAAGCUUUUAUUUUGCUUGUCUCCAAAUAUAUUUAAAAAUGUGGAGUGAGACCGAAACCAUGUAUGACAUGAACAUAAUUGGAUCAUUUUCUGUGACAGUUGGAUUUAUGUUAACGACAAAUGAGUCCGUGGAUACUUUUUCAAUCUUAAAGAUUAAUUUGGUACAUAGCUUUUUACUGUAGGAUCUUUCAAAUGUUGUUUGAGACAUAUCUAGAACCUCCUCCAUAUUGUUAUUUGAUAUUUUGGAAGAUGCCAUAUUUUAGGCUUGCUAAGGCAGACAUCCACUCCAAAUGGUCUUUUUGAUAUUUUGGAGGAUGACAUAUGUUAGGCUUGCUAAGGCAGACAUCCACUUCAAACGGUCUUGUUCACGAGACACAACUUUUU